rnacentral:rRNA from 1 species
AACGAACGCUGGCGGCAGGCUUAACACAUGCAAGUCGAACGGGUGUAGCAAUACAUCAGUGGCAGACGGGUGAGUAACACGUGGGAACCUUCCUAGGGGUACGGAACAACUCAGGGAAACUUGAGCUAAUACCGUAUACGUCCGUGAGGAGAAAGAUUUAUCGCCCUUAGACGGGCCCGCGUCGGAUUAGGUAGUUGGUGGGGUAACGGCCUACCAAGCCUACGAUCCGUAGCUGAUCUGAGAGGAUGAUCAGCCACACUGGGACUGAGACACGGCCCAGACUCCUACGGGAGGCAGCAGUGGGGAAUCUUGGACAAUGGGCGCAAGCCUGAUCCAGCCAUGCCGCGUGAGUGAAGAAGGCCUUAGGGUUGUAAAGCUCUUUCAGUGGGGAAGAUAAUGACGGUACCCACAGAAGAAGCCCCGGCUAACUCCGUGCCAGCCGCCGCAGUAAUAC